rnacentral:rRNA from 1 species
GACGAACGCUGGCGGCGUGCUUAACACAUGCAAGUCGAACGGAAAGGCCCUGCUUGCCGGGUACUCGAGUGGCGAACGGGUGAGUAACACGUGAGUGAUCUGCCCUUCACUUCGGGAUAAGCCUGGGAAACUGGGUCUAAUACCGGAUAGGUGCCAUUUUUAGUGUGAUGGUUGGAAAGUUUUUUCGGUGUAGGAUGAGCUCGCGGCCUAUGAGCUUGUUGGUGGGGUAAUGGCCUACCAAGGCGGCGACGGGUAGCCGGCCUGAGAGGGUGGACGGCCACAUUGGGACUGAGAUACGGCCCAGACGCCGACGGGAGGCAGGAGUGGUGAAUAUUGCACAAUGGGCGCAAGCCUGAUGCAGCGACGCCGCGUGGGGGAUGACGGCCUUCGGGUUGUAAACUCCUUUCGCUAGGGAUGAAGCUUUUGUGACGGUACCUAGAGAAGAAGCACCGGCUAACUACGUG